rnacentral:rRNA from 1 species
UACAGAGGUGGCAAGCGUUGCUCGGAAUUACUGGGCGUAAAGGGCGCGUAGGCGGCCUUCUAAGUCAGACGUGAAAUCCCCCGGCUUAACCUGGGAACUGCGUCUGAUACUGGGAGGCUAGAGUAUGGGAGAGGGAUGUAGAAUUCCAGGUGUAGCGGUGAAAUGCGUAGAUAUCAGGAGGAAUACCGGAGGCGAAGGCGGCCGACUGGGAGAGUAUUGACGCUGAGGUGCGAAAGCGUGGGGAGCAAACAGG